CAGUCGCCGCGGGAAUACGGAGGGUGCAAGCGUUAUCCGGAUUUAUUGGGUUUAAAGGGUCCGUAGGCGGAUCUGUAAGUCAGUGGUGAAAUCUCACAGCUUAACUGUGAAACUGCCAUUGAUACUGCAGGUCUUGAGUAAAUUUGAAGUGGCUGGAAUAAGUAGUGUAGCGGUGAAAUGCAUAGAUAUUACUUAGAACACCAAUUGCGAAGGCAGGUCACUAAGAUUUAACUGACGCUGAUGGACGAAAGCGUGGGGAGCGAACAGGAUUAGAUACCCCGGUAGUCCCUGUCUCUUAUAC
rnacentral:rRNA from 1 species